rnacentral:lncRNA from 1 species
CAUUAAUGACUUCAAAGUUGGAUCCAAGCGAUGAAUUCUUUACUAUUCAAUCUAUAUUCUCUCUAUUUCUCUCAAAAGUUAGCGUACAAUCUCUUCCUCCUUAGGUCUGGAUCUGUUCUCUUAUUUAUAUGAUGCCAAGGAGGUUGCUUAUCAAAAUAAAAUAAGAAAACCUAGAUUUUUUAGCUGUUUACCACUGAGAUGCAUGCCUAGUGUAAUCUAGUGUGCGCCUAGGAUCCUUGGGUGCCUCAGUAGCUCAUUUUUGGUUUGAGGGUGCGCACCUCUCCUGCAGGUUAGGGCACGCACCUUGCCUAAUUUUUGACAACCAAACAACUUUAAGUACUAUAGCGUAACUUUCUCUCCCGAUAUCGGACUGAGGUGAUUCAAAGUGCGUUGGAUAACUUACUUAGAGGGCUACAAUUCUUCUAGAGGUAUCAUUAUUCCAAUUCGAACGUUUGAUAUGCCAAAAUCGGGUCUCAAUAUGAGACUGAAAUUCAAAGUAUAAUUUUUUACAGUUGAAAGUUAAUGUAUGAUAAUAUUUUAACUAUAAUUCAUCCCUUUGACUUAUUUCCUCAUCCAAGUGACCCCUAGCACUCUCAAAUCUUCAUGGUGAUGUCCAAAACAACUUUUGAGUAUUUGCAUUUUAGUUCCCGAACUUUAGAUUUGCUUCAUUUUAGCCUUUUUCCCGUUCUUUCUUACAGUUCUUCAUCGAAACAUGAAUGUUUUCUAAUAAAAGCAAUAAAUAAUAAAUUAGAUACUAAUCCGUCCAAAUAAUAAUAAAAUAUCAUCAUUUAGGAUUCCAAAUAAGUGUAGA